CCAACACUGCUCUGUCAGGAUGGAGAGAGCCCGGCUCGCUACCCUUGCUGUCUGCUCACUUCUAUCUGUUGUUGACUCUGAGGCUUUGACCAUCUCAGUGAGUGAGAGGCUGAUUCAUGCAGCAGUCGGAAACCCUGUGAUCCUGUCAGUCAGACCAUCGGAGAAGGUGAGGAGUGGGACUUGGAAACACAACGGGUCAGAUGUCCUUGCGUGGAUUGGAGAAACAUCAGAUAUUAACAAUCUUUACACAGGACGGGUGGAGUUCUUACACAGUAACUCCUCUCUCUUGCUCAAAUCAGUGACUGCUUCAGACAGCGGAGAGUACAGUGUUACCAUGAAUGCCUUCACUGGUCAUUCAGCGGAAGCAGCAAUGAGCCUUCUUGUAUUUGUGCCAAUCUCCUCUGUGUCCAUUACAUCUGAUGUUUCAGAAGCAGUGAAAGAGAAUGACACAGUUAUCCUGACAUGCCAUGUGCUUGGAUAUUGGACUGAAAUAACUUGGAUCUUCAAUGGGAGCCUUGUCAACAGCAAUGGGAAGAUAAAGCUUUCCUCAGAAAAUGCUACAUUGAUGAUAAUUAAUGUUGACUCAAGCCAUAUUGGCAGCUAUCAGUGUAUUGCACAGAGCCCUGUGAGUGAAAAAGAAAGUGAACCCUACUUCUUAACAUUGGACUAUCACUCCAAUGCAAAGGAAAGCACACUGAAAUGGGUUGUUAUAAUUUUUGCUGCACUCGCACCAUGCCUUAUGAUAUGCUGUGCAGUCUUCACCAGGAACAGAAUAAACUGUUGUGAUCAGCAAUGCUCCUGCUCCUUUCUCAGCAGGUACAUAUUUUAUUGCUGGGUGUCGUGCUGUAACAAAAAUGCUUCAGAGAAAAACAUUGACAAUAAGGAAAGAGGCAAUCUUGCAGGCACUUGGAUGGCAUGCUGUUCUGCGAGAGUGAAAAAAGAGUAUGACUCACCCUGCAUUGAGGAACCCAGGGCCCUGAGUGGUCUUUCCCUGGCUUGCUGCAGCAGUGUAAUAGGAGACAAGAUUGAAUUCCAGGAUGAAACAAACACAAAGAGUUAUCGUGGCAUCUUGCUGUCUUGCUGUAGUGGCAGGUCUCCAGAUGAAUCAGAGGGGUCAAGGCAUUGUUGCGGUACGUGGAUGUCCUGCUGCAAAACCAGAUUGAAGGACAGCAUCGAAACCAGCAAUUUUCGUGGGUUGUGGCUGUCAUGUUGUGACCAUGGAUUUGAAAAGGAUGAACAAUCGCAGGAAUACUACAAAACCAGAGAACUGUGUGAUUGCUGGAUAGCAUGCUGCAAUAAGGGGCAAGAGGAAUCCAGGGAGAUAUAUGUAAAUCCGAUAACUUGCACCACAGGACAACAACAAGCAAUUAAUUUCUGCUGGACAUCAAUAGCCAGUGCCCCUGCUGUGGGACAGCCUGCACAAAGCACAACUAGUGAGAAAAAUCCAGAAACGAAAUCUUAACCUCCAUUAUCUCUGCAGCGCCAUCAAAGGAAUUCCCACUUUAUGCUGCAGUUAAUAAGAAGAAGCAUAAGGGAAAUUAAACCGUUAGCCAUGGAAAGCUCCCACCAGCCUCGAAGACUAAAGAGUUUUUUCAAUAAAAGUGGUUGAUAUUCAGAAAGGAAUAAUGAAGACCUCUGUGGCUUGUGAUCAAGAUUCUAAAAUACUAUCUGCUCCUGUUAGACUUGAGAAAGGACAUUUGGCCAGAGCACCAUCAAUAUUCUUCCUUCCAACACUGUUGUGGUGUCAUUUGCCGGUUCAACUUAAAUUCCUGAAUCUGAAGUAUGGUAGCUCCAUCUCUAUGUGGAUCGCAGUGCAAUAGAGGAGCGCAAAGCCAGGUUAUCAAGUACAGCCAGGAUGGACUCCUACAGAUCGCACUCUGUUCAUUCUGUAGAUUGGAUUGAAUUGAAGCAAUGUGUUCAUCACAAUCGUACAUCAGUAUGCAAUACCUCUGCACAUUUCUAUCUAUGGCCAUGUGUGUUCUUGCCGACUGCUACAUAGCUGGUUUAACCAAAUCUUUCAAACAAGAAACUAACAUAAGAAAGAGGAUAAUUAACCUUUAAAAGAAUUUGACAUAAGUUAUUGUUACAAGCAAUAUUGUUAUAUUUCAUGUCAUUUUCUUUGAAACUGUCAUUAAAAGAAAGCUCAUAAAAUGGUAAAAGUGGCAUAUGUUGUUUUGAGACAAUGGAUCAGAGCCUCUGAAGUGCUUACAGUCAUACUUAAGUUUUGGACAAGACGUGUUGUUCUCAAGACAAAGAGCUCAAGUUAAGUCUAGCCAAUAAAGUAAUCUCUAAGUUUGAAAUUCGUUGGCAGCUAAGAUUUCCUGGAAAACUCCCAUUGCAUAAAGAAAGGUGCCAAAAAAACUGCAAAGAGCAAAACUUCAAAAGGCAGAAGCACAAGGCAAUCUAAGUACCUCAUCUCAGCAGGAAAGCAUAUCCUAAUGCUUAUAUUCCAGACUGUGUACUUAUUGCCUUACCAGUCUAGAUAUAUAGAACAAAC